UUAAUAGAGAAAAAUGGCUCAGAAAAAUAAAGGAUAAAAAAUAAAGACUCCGCUCCCCCAUUUGAUUUCCUUGUGACGAAAGACAGAAUGAAAUGGAUAAGCUCUCAUCCAACUAGCAGUUAAUAUCAUGAUUUUGUGCUUUUAUGUCUUCUGUAUUCUACAUUCUAUACAGUCUCUGUGAGAUUGUUCACCUUUUUUAUCUGUCCUUCAUAUCAUUGUAUAUUAUUAUGUAAUACAUUGUCUUAUUGUAAACAUAUAUAUUAAC
rnacentral:lncRNA from 1 species